GUGCUCAGUUCAGCAGCACAUAUACUAAAAUUGGAAUGAUACAGAGAAGAUUAGCAUGGCCUCUGCUCAAGGAUGACAUGCAAAUUCAUGAAGCAAGAAAAGAAAAU
rnacentral:snRNA from 1 species